rnacentral:rRNA from 1 species
UGGGGAAUAUUGGACAAUGGGCGGAAGCCUGAUCCAGCAACGCCGCGUGAGGGAUGACGGCCUUCGGGUUGUAAACCUCUUUCAGUACCGACGAAGCGAAAGUGACGGUAGGUACAGAAGAAGGACCGGCCAACUACGUGCCAGCAGCCGCGGUAAUACGUAGGGUCCGAGCGUUGUCCGGAAUUAUUGGGCGUAAAGGGCUCGUAGGCGGUUUGUCGCGUCGGGAGUGAAAACAGCGGGCUUAACUCGUUGCUUGCUUUCGAUACGGGCAGACUAGAGGUAUGCAGGGGAGAAUGGAAUUCCUGGUGUAGCGGUGAAAUGCGCAGAUAUCAGGAGGAACACCGGUGGCGAAGGCGGUUCUCUGGGCAUUACCUGACGCUGAGGAGCGAAAGUGUGGGGAGCGAACAGGAUUA